rnacentral:rRNA from 1 species
UGUAGAGGGUCCAGCCUGCCCGGUGAUUACGAGUUUAACGGCCGCGGUAUUUUGACCGUGCAAAGGUAGCGCAAUCACUUGUCUUUUAAAUAGAGACCUGUAUGAAUGGCCAAACGAGGGCUUAGCUGUCUCCCCUUUCCAGUCAGUGAAAUUGAUUUACCCGUGCAGAAGCGGGUAUAAUAAUACAAGACGAGAAGACCCUUUGGAGCUUAAGGUACAAAACUCAACCACGUAAAGCAACUCAAUGAAAAGCAAAAACUUUGUGGAAUAUGAGACCCUACCUUCGGUUGGGGCGACCACGGAGGAAAACGAAGCCUCCAAGUGGACUGGGACAAACCUCCUAAAACCAAGAGAGACAUCUCUAAGCCACAGAACAUCUGACCAAAUAUGAUCCGGCCACCAANNGGCCGAUCAACGAACCAAGUUACCCUAGGGAUAACAGCGCAAUCCUCUCCCAGAGUCCAUAUCGACGAGAGGGUUUACGACCUCGAUGUUGGAUCAGGACAUCCUAAUGGUGCAGCCGCUAUUAAGGGUUCGUUUGUUCAACGAUUAAAGUCCUACGUGAUCUG